UCCCUAGCAGUCCAGUGGUUAAGACUCCAGACUCCCAAUGUGGGGUAACCAGGUUCGAUCCCUGGUCAGGGAA
rnacentral:tRNA from 1 species